UACGUAGGGUGCAAGCGUUAAUCGGAAUUACUGGGCGUAAAGCGUGCGCAGGCGGUGAUGUAAGACAGAUGUGAAAUCCCCGGGCUUAACCUGGGAAUGGCAUUUGGGACUGCAAGGCUGGAGUGCGGCAGAGGAGACUGGAAUUCCUGGUGUAGCAGUGAAAUGUGUAGAUAUCAGGAGGAACACCGAUGGCGAAGGCAGGUCUCUGGGCUGACACUGACGCUCAUGCACGAAAGCGUGGGGAGCAAACAGG
rnacentral:rRNA from 1 species